rnacentral:snRNA from 1 species
UACUUUGCUCAGAGGCAGUAUCAUAGCCAAUGAGGUUUAUCCAAAGCAUGAUUAUUGCUAAUAGAUGAGCAUAAUUUCUGAUUGAUAACCAGCAGAGAAAUAUUGAACUCAUUCCUCCAAACAUG